AGUUAGAUACCCUCCUAUCAAGAGGUGAUGUCAUCCUUGACACGGGAGUGGACACAAGAUGUAGGCGCCAUCUUGUUAGCACGAGGUGUUCACUCGAUGGGAGGGGUGCUUUGGCAGCCAUUUUGAGUAGUUAGUAUUGUUAGCUUCAAGGUUCUUUUAGCAAAUACACAUUUUAUUAUUCAGCACAUUUCCUCCUGACAAAGCAUUAGCUUAGAUAAUUUCAAG